GGACUACUCGGGUUUCUAAUCCUGUUUGCUCCCCACGCUUUCGCGCCUCAGCGUCAGUUACAGGCCAGUGAGCCGCCUUCGCCACCGGUGUUCCUCCCAAUAUCUACGAAUUUUACCUCUACACUGGGAAUUCCACUCACCUCUCCUGUACUCGAGCCCCGCAGUCUCAAAAGCAAUUCCCAGGUUAAGCCUGGGGAUUUCACUCCUGACGUGCGAAGCCGCCUACGCGCCCUUUACGCCCAGUAAUUCCGAACAACGCUAGCCCCCUUCGUAUUACCGCGGCUGCUGGCAC
rnacentral:rRNA from 1 species